UGACUAAACACUUUUUUUUUUAAAGAGAGAAAUAAGCUAAUGAGUUCCAUAAUAAUACAGUUAAGGCUAUAUCAAUGCUAAUUUUUAAAAUAUGAAGGCUGUUCAUAACUGCAGCAAAAGUUCAGAAACAACCAGGCCCCAAGCCGGAGGAGCGUAAAAUCUAAGUUAAGGUUAAGCAAAAUCAGCAAAGAACGUGGACUAUUCAAUAAGGUGUUUCUCAUUUGUUACAUCAAUAUUCAAAGUGGGCAAUAGUGAAUGAGGGUAGUUAACUAUUUCCAAAUGUUCAAGAAAAUGCACUACAAUAUUCUUGCAUCAAAAUGACUCUGGGAAUUACAGAAACAAGAGAAAAUUUCUUGAGACAAGAACAAAUCAGGUAAAACCUAAUAAAGCCAGAGGAAAUUAGGAAAAUAGAAGGUUGUUUUCAUGGGAGUUUAAUCUUUUUGCUGAAAAGUGCACUUGAUUAUUUGUAUGUGGAAUCCGCAUUUUGACAUUUUUUUUCUAGAAAAGUAAACCUAUUUUACAUAUUCUAAUUUAACUUCAUUAGUGACGCCAAAACCUUCAUCUAUAUUUUUCAUAAAGUCAUGUAGAGGUUCUCUCUGCUUUAGGGAUAAAGCUAAUAAACCCACACAUAAAUUAAUGUAUUUUAAUUAAACAUUAUCACAUGAAAUAAUAUUGUACACUAAUGCCUAGAACAAGAACAACUUUCUUACUUAAGAUACAGUACAAUAUUAAAAUAUUAAAACUCAUUAAAAAUUAAUUUAAAAAUACUUUAUAAAUGUUCAAGUACUCUAAGUCCUGUACUUUUUUUAAAGGUUUUACGUUGUUACUGUUGUAUACAUAAUGUAAUCCACAAGCUGCUCUUAGCAAAACAGUACAAGAAGCUAUGGUUACUUUGAAGAAUUACACAGACAAUUGCUAUUGUUUUAAUUAUUUCACCAAAAUAAUGAUGCUAGAAUCUUAUUAAAGAACGAAACAAAACUAAGUUUUAAAAAAGUCUUGCAGGCGCAUAUAGCAAAACAAAGUUAUAUAAUAACUUCAAAUCAUUAUGGGGGGGGGGGAACCUGCCUUGCUUCAAGACCUUCCUAGAUAAAGCACCUGAUUACAUAGUUUUUAAGUUGCAUCUGGCUCAGAAGAGAGAACUUGCAUGAGGGUAUACUAUGUGCUUAAUUUGGUCCAGAAAACAGAACCAAUGUGAGAGUCUACUACAUGACUAAAAUGAGAUACACGCAUGGGUAUUAACAUCCAUUAAGGCUUAGGAACAGCAUUCAAAACAAGUUAUUACUGCCUAGCCCAAAUCACAAAUUAAUUGAAAUGCCAUUUUUUUUAAGUAUAUAGAUUUUAAAGCAUGCCUAGAAGUACCUUUACAAAUCUCAGGUUAAAUAGAUGAGUGCCCUCAGACCAUAAGCUAAUGAAUGUAACCUAUGUGACAUUUAUUAAAUAAAUAUUAGCUGCUACAAUUUGUUAUGAAUGCUAUUCUUUGCACCAUAAGGCUCAAAGGUACAAACUGACCAAAGCUUAGAAACAGCGAAGGAUACAUUUGGUAAUCUUUUGUAUUAAAAUUAACAAUCAUUUGUUGAAGAAUUAGUUCAUGUCAGACACUGUGUUAGGCAGUAGGGAUGUAAAGAUUAACAAAUUACACAAGCUACUUCAGGGCCAUAACUCUGUCUUAUUGCUUGGCAUAGUAAAGCUACUUGAUAAAUACCUCUUGAAUGAGUUAGGAACAAAAUAAAAUCCCUAUUGACAAGAAAUUCACAGUCUGAUUAUUUUUUGCUAUACUUGGAUUUUUCCAUGGCAAUCACAGCUUGCUGUUUUUCAAAGUGCUUUCAUAGCUAAAAAUAACUAAAAAUAUCCACGAUCCCUUGAAUUGAAGACUAGAUUCCCACUGGCAUUUAAAGGAAAAGAUAUAUAUUGUGGUCUAAUAAGGGCCAAACUUCCAUCUAGCAUCCUGUGUAUUUACCAGAAUUACCCUGGAAGGAAAUCCAACAUAAACUAUGAAAGUCCUCUGGCACUAUGAAAGUCCUUCUGGUCGCAUCUCCUUCUGGGGACUGCUCUGCCACUUCACGAGAGAAAGCCAGAGCAGGACUGCUACCCUGACACCUGUUCUCACGUACCCCCUUCAUCUAAAGGACCCUGGGGUCUAAGAGGGUCACAGUUCCUUUGUCAACCCCAUGGAAGAACUCUCAUCAGAAAAGCAACCCUUCUCCAUUUCACCCAAAAGACAAUAGCAACCCAGAAUAUGGUUAGGUAAUAUCAAGGUUCCCUUGGGCAGGAGGUCUUGAAAAAAACAAAAGACAGACAUUUCGUUUGAGUUGAAAUUCUAAGUAACCUGAGGAUAUGAAAGAAGAAAGGACCAAGAGACCUUUACGUGUGUAAAGGUUUUAGGUGUGUAUGCCUGUGGGAAGUGC